ACUUCCUUUCUCUCUGACAAGACGACUAACCUCAUAAGUGGUUUCAAACUUAGUCUUGAGGGACAACAUAUUAAUGAUGGAUCUCGGAUGUAGUCUUUUUGUAAUAAUAUUAUUAUUCAGUGUCAGAGGAUAUGAGUUUUGCGAUAUCGACUCCUAUUUUGACCCAGUAAUUCAUAGAUGUGAUUUGUGUAGUAAUAUAUGUGAUAACAUGGAUUCAACGAAUACCUAUGAGGACUGCCAACGUUACUGCCCAGAUUACGGUAAAGCGCAAGGGUGUUCGGACGAUCAAUACUACGACCAGAACGUGGGGGAGAUGUGACUCGUGUGCGGAGCUCUGUCACGGAGAAAACAUUCACGACACAACGGAAGAAUGCAAAGCCAAGUGCCCCAGCUUUCACCGUGGCGGACAUGGUUCUGGUUCAGGAAGGUCGACGGGGCCAAUUAUUGCAACAGCAGUGACAUGUUCCGUCAUCGUUAUGGCAAUUGUCAUAGUGGUACUACUUUGCCGGACCCAGCGUCUCCCAUCACUCUUACAGAGGUGUCGCCUGUAUCCAGAAAAAAGGCUAAAUUCAGCCACAACAGUGCAGUGAUGGAAGCGAUACUUCAGGAUCUAACUUUUCUUCUGUCAGUGACGUUCAUCCACAAGUAACUGAUGCCACUGUAGUUGUCAUGACAGAGGGGUUUCCUGAUUUACAUACACAAGCUCGUCAUAGUUCAAUGGAUGUUCUUAUACACUAACCCACACCAGUGAACCAUGUCACGCUGACCAGUCUCUGACAUGCCAAGGUGACGGUCCGCACAUCAGCCCCUUGAAACCAGUUGACCUCUAACCAGGUUGAAAUUGGUCAAAUGCGACAUGGAAGGGCUGCACUGAGAGGCAUUGUUCGGAUCUCUCGUCCAGAUGAUCAGAUUUGAAGAAAAUUGCCAGUUCAGACAGCAGGGGCUGUAAUAAAGGCGAACCCGACAUACACAUUAGCUUCGGAAAAGAAGUUUUUGCCGUGUUGUGUCCCAAAUGUCCAAAAUAUAUGAUACUUUAUUAAUAUUAUAAAUAUUUGAACAGGACAUCACACGGGUGACAGGUGUUAUCUUUCAUUUGGACCACCGACAAACCAAGUCAUCUGAAAAAACGUUUUGACACUAUAUGCAGCAUUGAAAGAACCUUGUGUAUUGAAAUAUUUUCGCAAAUUCGAUCCAAUUUACAACUCUAUGUACGUCCAUGCUGAUUUGUCAUUUGAGUGGUGACUCCAUCCCUAAGGAUCUCAGCACUCAAUAUUUAACUAUACCUUAGCUUUGUUGUAUUCAACAUUUAAUUCAAAUCAUUUUAGCAGCAGACUCAGCUGAUAUACCUGAGCUGUUCUUUCUGUACAUUUAUACAUAUGCUCGCCCAAUUGUUAUAUUAUUAUGUUUUGGAAUUAUGGGACUGGUGUCACUGA